GAUGAACGCUAGCGGCAGGCUUAAUACAUGCAAGUCGAGGGGCAGCGCGGGUAGCAAUACCUGGCGGCGACCGGCAAACGGGUGCGGAACACGUACAGAACCUUCCUUUAAGCGGGGGAUAGCCCAUAGAAAUGUGGAUUAAUACCCCAUAGCAAUAUUUGAUGGCAUCAUUAGAUAUUUAAAGAUUUAUCACUUAAAGAUGGCUGUGCGGCUGAUUAGGUAGUGGUGCGGGUAACGGCCCACCAAGCCAUCGAUCAGUAACUGGUGUGAGAGCACGACCAGUCACACGGGCACUGAGACACGGGCCCGAUUCCUACGGGAGGCAGCAGUAAGGAAUAUUGGUCAAUGGACGC
rnacentral:rRNA from 1 species